CGAGGGUGCAAGCGUUAUCCGGAUUCACUGGGUUUAAAGGGUGCGUAGGUGGGCAGGUAAGUCAGUGGUGAAAUCUCCGGGCUUAACCCGGAAACUGCCAUUGAUACUAUCUGUCUUGAAUACCCUGGAGGUGAGCGGAAUAUGUCAUGUAGCGGUGAAAUGCUUAGAUAUGACAUAGAACACCCAUUGCGAAGGCAGCUCACUACGGGAAUAUUGACACUGAGGCACGAAAGCGUGGGGAUCAAACAGGAUUAGAUACCCUGGUAGUCCACGCCCUAAACUAUGGAUACUCGACAUCAGCGAUAAACUGUUGGUGUCUGAGCGAAAGCAUUAAGUAUCCCACCUGGGAAGUACGAUCGCAAGAUUG
rnacentral:rRNA from 1 species